AUUGAACGCUGGCGGCAUGCCUUACACAUGCAAGUCGAACGGCAGCACGGGAGCAAUCCUGGUGGCGAGUGGCGAACGGGUGAGUAAUAUAUCGGAACGUGCCCAGUCGUGGGGGAUAACGCAGCGAAAGCUGUGCUAAUACCGCAUACGAUCUACGGAUGAAAGCGGGGGAUCGCGAGACCUCGCGCGAUUGGAGCGGCCGAUAUCAGAUUAGCUAGUUGGUGGGGUAAAGGCCCACCAAGGCGACGAUCUGUAGCUGGUCUGAGAGGACGACCCGCCACACUGGAACUGGGACACGGUCCAGACUCCUACGGGAGGCAGCAGUGGGGAAUUUUGGACAAUGGGCGCAAGCCUGAUCCAGCAAUGCCGCGUGCAGGAUGAAGGCCUUCGGGUUGUAAACUGCUUUUGUACGGAACGAAACGGCCCUUUCUAAUACAGGGGGCUAAUGACGGUACCGUAAGAAUAAGCACCGGCUAACUACGUGCCAGCCGCCGCGGUAACAC
rnacentral:rRNA from 1 species